rnacentral:tRNA from 1 species
AUUUAUAUAGUUUAAAAAAAACAUUACAUUUUCACUGUAAAAAAAAUAAGAAAAUAUUUAUAAAUA